GUGCUCGCUUUGGCAGCACAUAUACUAAAAUGGAACAAUACAGAGAAGAUUAGCAUGGCCCCUGCGAAAGGAUGACAUGCAAAUUCAUGAAAUGUUCCAUAUUUUU
rnacentral:snRNA from 1 species